GAGUAAUGUCUGGGAAACUGCCUGAUGGAGGGGGAUAACUACUGGAAACGGUAGCUAAUACCGCAUAACGUCGCAAGACCAAAGAGGGGGACCUUCGGGCCUCUUGCCAUCGGAUGUGCCCAGAUGGGAUUAGCUAGUAGGUGGGGUAACGGCUCACCUAGGCGACGAUCCCUAGCUGGUCUGAGAGGAUGACCAGCCACACUGGAACUGAGACACGGUCCAGACUCCUACGGGAGGCAGCAGUGGGGAAUAUUGCACAAUGGGCGCAAGCCUGAUGCAGCCAUGCCGCGUGUAUGAAGAAGGCC
rnacentral:rRNA from 1 species